rnacentral:rRNA from 1 species
CCUACGGGUGGCUGCAGUGGGGGAUAUUGCACAAUGGGGGGAACCCUGAUGCAGCGACGCCGCGUGGGUGAAGGAGUGCUUCGGCAUGUAAAGCCCUAUCGGCAGGGAAGAAGCAAGACGGUACCUGACUAAGAAGCCCCGGCUAACUACGUGCCAGCAGCCGCGGUAAUACGUAGGGGGCGAGCGUUAUCCGGAUUCACUGGGUGUAAAGGGAGCGUAGACGGCCAUGCAAGCCAGGGGUGAAAGCCCGGGGGCCAACCCCGGAACUGACCUUGGAACUGCAUGGCUGGAGUGCGGGAGGGGCAGGCGGAAUUCCUGGUGUAGCGGGGAAAGGCGGAGAUAGGAGGAGGAACACCGGCGGCGAAGGCGGCCGGCUGGACCGCGACUGACGUUGAGGCGCGAAAGCGUGGGGAGCGAACAGGAGUAGAUACCCGUGUAGUC